rnacentral:rRNA from 1 species
AGCAGCCGCGGUAAUUCCAGCUCCAAUAGCGUAUAUUAAAGUUGUUGCAGUUAAAAAGCUCGUAGUUGAAUUUCGGGAUCAAUACGUCGGUCGUGCUUCGGUACGUACUGGCGUAAUUGAUUUCUCCCUUCUGACGAACCAUGAUGUCAUUAACUUGGUGUCAUGGGAAAUCAGGACUGUUACUUUGAAAAAAUUAGAGUGUUUAAAGCAGGCUCACGCUUGAAUACAUUAGCAUGGAAUAAUGAAAUAGGACGUUCGAUCCUAUUUUGUUGGUUUUUAGGAUCAACGUAAUGAUUAAUAGGGAUAGUUGGGGGCAUUAGUAUUCAAUUGUCAGAGGUGAAAUUCUUGGAUUUAUUGAAGACUAACUACUGCGAAAGCAUUUGCCAAGGAUGUUUUCAUUAAUCAAGAACGAAAGUUAGGGGAUCGAAGACGAUCAGAUACCGUCGUAGUCUUAACCAUAAACUAUGCCGACUAGGGAUCGGAUGAUGUUAAUUUUUUAAUGACUCA